rnacentral:rRNA from 1 species
CGAAAACGAAUUCUCUCUUGAGUGGAUCCUGAGUACGACGGAGCACGUGAAAUUCCGUCGGAAUCUGGGAGGACCAUCUCCUAAGGCUAAAUACUCUCUAGUGACCGAUAGUGAACCAGUACCGUGAGGGAAAGGUGAAAAGUACCCCGGAAGGGGAGUGAAAGAGAACUUGAAACCGUGUGCUUACAAGUAGUCAGAGCCCGUUAAUGGGUGAUGGCGUGCCUUUUGUAGAAUGAACCGGCGAGUUACGAUCUGAUGCAAGGUUAAGCAGAAAAUGUGGAGCCGUAGCGAAAGCGAGUCUGAAUAGGGCGAAUGAGUAUUUGGUCGUAGACCCGAAACCAGGUGAUCUACCCUUGGUCAGGUUGAAGUUCAGGUAACACUGAAUGGAGGACCGAACCGACUUACGUUGAAAAGUGAGCGGAUGAACUGAGGGUAGCGGAGAAAUUCCAAUCGAACUUGGAGAUAGCUGGUUCUCUCCGAAAUAGCUUUAGGGCUAGCCUCAAGUGAUGAUUAUUGGAGGUAGAGCACUGUUUGGACGAGGGGCCCCUCUCGGGUUACCGAAUUCAGACAAACUCCGAAUGCCAAAUAAUUUAACUUGGGAGUCAGAAUGUGGGUGAUAAGGUCCAUAUUCGAAAGGGAAACAGCCCAGACCACCAGCUAAGGUCCCAAAAUAUAUGUUAAGUGGAAAAGGAUGUGGCGUUGCCCAGACAACUAGGAUGUUGGCUUAGAAGCAGCCAUCAUUUAAAGAGUGCGUAAUAGCUCACUAGUCGAGUGACACUGCGCCGAAAAUGUACCGGGGCUAAACAUAUUACCGAAGCUGUGGAUUGUCCUUUGGACAAUGGUAGGAGAGCGUUCUAAGGGCGUUGAAGCAUG